rnacentral:rRNA from 1 species
UGGGGAAUAUUGGACAAUGGGCGAAAGCCUGAUCCAGCCAUGCCGCGUGAGUGAUGAAGGCCUUAGGGUUGUAAAGCUCUUUUGUCAGGGAAGAUAAUGACGGUACCUGAAGAAUAAGCACCGGCUAACUUCGUGCCAGCAGCCGCGGUAAUACGAAGGGUGCUAGCGUUGUUCGGAAUCACUGGGCGUAAAGCGCGCGUAGGCGGCGAUAUAAGUCAGGGGUGAAAGCCUGGAGCUCAACUCCAGAACUGCCUUUGAAACUAUAUUGCUAGAGUGUCGGAGGGGAUGGCGGAAUUCCUAAUGUAGAGGUGAAAUUCGUAGAUAUUAGGAGGAACACCGGUGGCGAAGGCGGCCAUCUGGACGACAACUGACGCUGAGGCGCGAAAGCGUGGGGAUCAAA